rnacentral:rRNA from 1 species
AGUGAACGCUGGCGGCAUGCCUAACACAUGCAAGUCGAACGGACGCACAGUAAGAGCUUUCUCUUGCUGGUAGCGACUGACGGGCGGGUAAGACGUACAUAGCCUACUUCUAUUUCGUGGGUGACAUCGGGGGGCCACAUCUGCUACUACAUCAUACUUUCUACCGCUGAAAUCAGAAGAUCUACACGCCUUUCCUGUCACUUUUAGCCGAAGUCGCAUUAGCUAGUUGGUUAGGUAAGGUCCCACCAAGGCGACGAUGCGUAGCCGGUCUGAGAGGAUGAUCGGCCACACUGGAACUGAGACACGGUCCAGACUCCUACGGGAGGCAGCAGUAGGGAAUAUUCCGCAAUGGGCGAAAGCCUGACGGAGCAACACCGCGUGAGUGAUGAAGGUCUUCGGAUCGUAAAACUCUGUUAUUAGGGAAGAACAGAUGUGUAAGUAACUGUGGACAUCUUGACGGUACCUAAUCAGAAAGCAACGGCUAACUACGUG